AAUAAGAUAGAAGAGGAAAUAACAACAAACAUACAUAAUUUGAUAGCUAAUCCAGAUGAAGUUGAUUCCAAUCAAGAGCAACACGGAGACUAAUUGGACAAGGUAAGCCAAUGUUUUAGUGGGGUAUGGUUCGUUAGUCAACACUAAAAUAAGCUUGUUCACAUGAUUAGCAGUUCUUAACAGGUUAUGGACUGGUGGGUGACCUUAUUAAGCUAUGGGCUGGAGGACAAAGAUUGUAUGAUAAUCUAGAAGAGACCCUUUUUCUUGUGCCCAUUUACAUAGGAGAUAUGGAGUAAAAUGAGUUGGACGCGAUUAGAGAAUAAGUUCUCCACUAAUUAGGUUAGUCUCGCUAAUCUUUUCUACAAUCCCUGAUUCAAUUGCAUCAAAGAUUUUCUCGUCAUGCAUAGUUUUUAGGCUACAGUUUAUCAUGUUCGGAUAGAAAGGAACAGACAUCAGCACAUAAAGCAAGUAAUGACAAAAACCCCAGCUUAGUAAAA
rnacentral:lncRNA from 1 species